AGCACCCUUCACUGAGCCAUUUUGAGGAAGGCAGAGGAGGACUAUAUUCACAUCCCAGUAAAUGAACUACACCUAUAUAUGUUCCAGUAUCAUGACUGUACCCCAACUCUAUAUGCUCUGUCCCAUCCUGCUUGUGGAUAUCCCUUUUCACUUCAGCUGUCUUUCUCCUCUGGGAAACUUUGAGCUUGUUUGCAGCAGAUCCUGCAGAGGUGAAAGGGUCGUGGCAGGGGGAAGCAUGCAGG